rnacentral:lncRNA from 1 species
AUUGUUUUAUUUUCUUUAAAUGACAUAAUAAAAAUUUCAUCAAAAUCUAAGGAAUCAUUAAUUUUCAAUUUUGGAUAAUAUUAAAAGUGUGAGUUAUUUAAUCAAAAAUUUCAAUUUUUUUUUUUUUUUGAGUUUUUAGUGGAACAAUCGAUUUGGAUCGCUGAUUUUUUUUGAUUUUUAAGCGGAUUUUAUCAAAUUUUUAGUUAACAACGUUUUCAUUAAAUCCAAACUUGAUUCUACACAAGUCUCCGGAUUUAUCGGUUCAAACGGGUUUGGGUCGGAUAUGAAAUCAAUGCUCGAAAAU